GUGCAGAAAGGAGAGAAGAAAAACAAAAGCUAACAAUCAAACGAGAGGUCUAGAACGGACACAACAAAAAGCACAGACUUCACAGGAUACAUAAAUAAAGCGAAGCGUGAAACCGAGGGAGAAAAACAAAGUUAAUCGAAGAAAAGUGUUUGAGUAGAAGUCACAUCCCUAACUGAAGAAGAACAAGAAAGAAGAAGCAAAGAAGAUAUUGGAAUUUGGGGAUUUGGAUAGCGGAACUUGAGGGGUGGCGAUUUUGUGGUUUGAAUUGUGAGAGUGACAAAAAUGAAUCAUGAUUACUGGAUCUGUUGGGAUAGUUGUAGAUGGGCACCCUGACGACAAACAAUCUGACCAUGUAGACACAAAGUCGUGGAUCCCUAGGAGGAGCCUCUGAAUGUGUCGAGGGAUUUGGAUGCCUGAUCAGAGUGUAGAGUAUGCUACGA